AUUGAACGCUGGCGGCAUGCCUUACACAUGCAACUNGAACGGCAGCGCGGGAGCAAUCCUGGCGGCGAGUGGCGAACGGGUGAGUAAUACAUCGGAACGUGCCCAAUCGUGGGGGAUAACGCAGCGAAAGCUGUGCUAAUACCGCAUACGAUCUACGGAUGAAAGCAGGGGAUCGCAAGACCUUGCGCGAAUGGAGCGGCCGAUGGCAGAUUAGGUAGUUGGUGAGGUAAAGGCUCACCAAGCCUUCGAUCUGUAGCUGGUCUGAGAGGACGACCAGCCACACUGGGACUGAGACACGGCCCAGACUCCUACGGGAGGCAGCAGUGGGGAAUUUUGGACAAUGGGCGCAAGCCUGAUCCAGCCAUGCCGCGUGCAGGAUGAAGGCCUUCGGGUUGUAAACUGCUUUUGUCCGGAAAGAAAUGGCUACUAGGUUAAUACCAUGGUGUCGAUGACGGUACCGGAAGAAUAAGGACCGGCUAACUACGUGCCAGCAGCCGCGGUAAUACGUAGGGUCCAAGCGUUAAUCGGAAUUACUGGGCGUAAAGCGUGCGCAGGCGGUAAUGUAAGACAGUUGUGAAAUCCCCGGGCUCAACCUGGGAACUGCGAUCUGUGACUGCAUUGCUGGAGUACGGCAGAGGGGGAUGGAAUUCCGCGUGUAGCAGUGAAAUGCGUAGAUAUGCGGAGGAACACCGAUGGCGAAGGCAAUCCCCUGGGCCUGUCACUGACGCUCAUGCACGAAAGCGUGGGGAGC
rnacentral:rRNA from 1 species